CAUUAACCUGUGGUGUAAUGGUCAGCAUGCUCGCCUGGCAAGUGAGUGGACCCGGGUUCAAUCCCCGGUAGGGUGA